UUUUCUUUUCUUUUCUUUUCUUUUUUUUUUUUUUUUUGGUUUUUAGGACCACACUUGUGGCAUAUGGAGGUUCCCAGGCUAGGGGUCAGAGCAGAGCUGUAGCUGCUGGCCUACACCACAGCCACGGCAACGCCAGAUCCAAGCUGCAUCUGUGAUCUACAACACAGUUCACAGCAAGGCUGGAUCCCCAACCCACUGAGCAGGGCUGGGGAUCGAACCUUCAUCCUCAUGGAUACUAGUCGGAUUCAUUUCUGCUGCGUCACAAUAGGAACUCCAGCUUCCUUCUUGUUGCAACAUUGCCUCUCCCUCCAUAUCCCAGCCCCAGACCUGGGAGGGAGGAACACCUGGCUGAGCUCCACCUGCAUGCCUCGUGCUGCCCGCAGCCCCCUCCUCGGAGGCCCCCAGGCUGGGGUGAGGGGGGGAGCCCCUGAGAGAAGGGGGGAAGCUGAUGCAUUUCCCCCUCGGUGUUGCAGGAGACUGCUCCCCACAUCCCAAGCCUGGACUCCUGCCAGGCUCCCUAAUCAUCUCCUUUCCUUUCCCAUCCAGAGCCUCUCUCUGGGGAGCCCCUCCUCCAGCCUCUGUGUCCUGGGCAGAGCAGCACAGCUCUUUCCAGGAUGGUGGCUGGGGUCUAGGAGGUCUGUACCCACAACCCUGACUCCUGCCCAAUGCCCGCCUUGCUUUGGUCAGGCUUUGGCCUCCAUAGGGAAUUCCCUUCCUCCAGCUCCCCAGUUCAUAGGUCUUGGAAAGCUGCCAAAUCCAGCACCUCUUUGGCCCUGCCUGGAUCCCCUUCCCCAGUCCCAGAGCACCCUCCUUUCCUACUGUGGGCAGGCCGGGUAGACUGUCCAUUGAAGCUUUCCCAAGACCAACUAGGGCAGUGGGGUCCGGGGAGGUGGUUGGUGCUGCCCCCUCAUUGGUGGCCUGCUGGGGUUUCCAUCACUUAGGGCUGGUUACCAGGCAACUGCAUCCGAGGGCUCGUCCCUGGCUUUGACUUCAGCCUGGCACAGCCACUGUUGCUGGUGGGGGAGGCAUGCAGUCAGGCCAGCUGAGGCCAGGGUCACUGUCCAGAGGCCUCAUGUGCCUGGGAGGGUUGGGGCUGGGGCCUCAGAUCUGCAACCUCAGAAACCCCUAUGAUUUUCUCAGCUUAGACUCACAGCCCUGCCCCAGGAAAGGGGUCUCCAGGGGUCUCCAUUUCUACACAAAUGGCCACACUCAGGUUUCCAGGGGGUUGAGGGGAGGCUGAGUGGGAGCAGAGCGGGGCACCUUUUUUUUUCCUCUUUAGGGGCUGGGGGUGCAGCCUGUGGCCUCAUUGACCACCCACCCCACCCUGUGGCCUGAGGUGGGGACAUGAAGAGUCUGAUUUCCCAGGUUAUAGGGCCUUGGGCUUUGGGUCUCAAUCCUGCUCUGCCUCCCAGUGGUUGUGUGUUGAUUGCCUGGCUGAGCCUCAUCUGUACGAUAACCCCUGUCUCCUUAGGAAGUGCACAGCCUAUAAAAUGCUGUGUUGUGCCUGGCACAUCGCCCCCUCUUCAUACCUGCUCCUUAGCUUCCUCCAGACCCUGCCACGUACUCAGCCACAAACGUCCCUCAUUGCAAGGCGGCAAGUAUUACAGAUGCUGACAGCCCACACAGAGGUCACUCAGCACUACCAGGUGACCCAGGAACAUGCCAUCUUCAUGUCCAAGGAUAGCCUUGUGCCCUGGCCCUGCCCCUUGCUCCCCCAUUCCUGAUGACUUGAUUUUUUUAAAAUUUAAAAGUCAUAUAAGGGUGUUCCUGGGAACCUCCAUAUGCUGUGGGUGAGGCCCUAAAAAAGCAAAAAAAAACAAAAAACAAAAAAAGAAAAAAAAAAGUCAUAUUGGCUUUACUGUGUAUAGGCACUGUUUUAAAAGCUUUAUAAAUAUUAAUGUGAUUAACAUUUAAUCCAUUUAAUGGAUUAAUCCAUUAAUGCGAUUAACAUUUAAUCCAUUCAGUGGAUUAAGUCACUUAAUUCACUUAUUCUAUGAAUCCAUUUAAUGGAUUAAAGGAGGUAAAUGUUGAGGUGGGCCUAGGGAGCUGUGGUGGGAUGGGGAUCCAGGCACACAGUCCCUCUCAUAUUAGGGUGGCUUCGGCUGUACCAUUAGAUGCCAGUCCUGCCUCUUGUCACGGAGCCCACCUGAGCUGGUGUAGCCAUGGCAGGUCAGAGUUUCAGGAAGAGCAGUGACGGCUAAUUAAAACUUUGGCUCAGGGAGGCCCCCUUGGGGCAAGGAUUGCCUCAGUCAGCUCCCUUGGGGAGGUCCCCUAAUUGGACCCCAGGGGCUCUAGUAAUGAUGCAAACUCACAGGCAGAGGAUAACAGGCAAGGAGGGAGGGGAAAUGGGGAAGGAAACAGCGUGGCAAAAAAAUAACAACCCCUCUCCCCUUGUGAGGGUAGUGGCUUGAGAGUUCCCAGACUGUCAGGUGCUGUGUAAAUUUGGGUGGGUUGCUUGACCUCUCUGAGCCUCUGAUUCUCUGUCCCAAGUGGAGAGAACAGAAAAUCCAGCCCUGGAGGGUUGUUGUGAAAAGAUAUGCACAAAAAGUUACUUCCGCAUCGUGCCUGACUCAGAAGUAGGGACUCGAGAAUUGAAACAAUUAUCAUCAUGUUAUUAAACCAGUAUGACUACCCAUGGCCUUUCAUAGCCAUUGUCUCGUUGAGUCUUGAGAGCAUCCUGGGAGGAAGGAGAGUGGGACAAGCAUUCACCUGGGGGAGGGGGGCAGUGUUUAGCCUCCUAGCUUUCUCUCCCGACACACUGGUUUGGGUCUUGGGCCCCUUGAGGGGUGUGGAGGAGCUGGGGCUGCAGGUCAUGGAGCAGUGUAGGAUGCAGACAGAACCAGACCUGCAGAGUGGAGAGGACUUAACUAGGCAGAAAGGAGCAGAGAUGCUUGCAGAGGUGGGAGUGGGUGUGGGGGGGGACACAGCCUAGAUAAAGGUCUGGCUCCAGAGCGUAUAGAGCCACAAAGCGGAACCACAAAGGGGAGCCACAGGGAACCGAUGGGGCUAGAGCUGGGGUGGCCUGAGACACCUCGGCCCAUGUAAGUGAUAGUCACACACUGCCCUGCUGAGGCUGAGGUCUGGCUCUAGGCCACCAAAGACCCCCUCGCUCCAGGGUGCUGAGAAUCACUGUGCCAGAAGCUGGGCUGGAAGGGGGGACUCUGGCAGAGGGAACAGGUGCUCUGAUUCCUCUCUGGCUGCAGCAGAGUGGCUACACUAACUCCCCUGCCCUCUGUCUGGAGUGGACAUUAAUCUCAUCCCGCAUCUGUGAGCCUCCGUCAUCACAAAGCACAAAGCCAUCUCCUGGGCUCCCCAGCCCCCUCGGGAAGCCACCCAGGCCCAUUUUCCAGGGACAGGAGCCCCAGGCAAGGUCCAAAAACAGUCAGGGCUGGCAUGGCAUGAGCCCCAGCCCUCUCUAGCAGGACCUGUCUCAGUGAUAUCACCUCUGUUCUCACGAGGGCCACCAGCCCCACAUCUGCCACCCCAGGACAGGGGUGGCCUCCUCUAGCCCUCACCCAGAGCAGAGUGCUCUGCGGGGGCACUUCCCCCGGCCCCAUACUCAGUGAACCCAACUGGCAUGGCCUCAGAACACAAUUCUUCUCGUGGAGAGAAAGCCAGGGCCAGAGCUGAGGUGUGGAGGAGAAGCAGGACGCACUGCAAGGCAGCUGGUCAGUGCUAGUAAAUCAACAAUUCCUGAACAAACACAGCCGCUCUGGACCUGGGCCUCCGACUCCCUCCUCACCCUCUGCGGUCAGCCCCCUCCUCUCCUGUCAACCAGGCCAUCUGCAGCUCACUGGGCUCCAAUUAGCUUGGUAAUUAGCACCUCAUCGGGCCUGUCUGCCUUUGAACAGGUCCCCUGGGAAGUGGUUUGAGGUGGUCUCCACGACCUCAGAGCCCAGGCUGGGGCAAGUUCAGGCAGGCCAAGGGGCCAGGUUUCAGGGCCCAGGUUUCAGGGCCCCUGUCACUCUCCCUGCAGGCACACUCGUGCCCCCAGCUUUCGCUGCUGUGGCUUUCCUGCUACAGGGCAAUGGAGCAACUUCAGAGCCCCUGUGGGAUUAGAGUAAGGGUCUGGGGGAAAGAGGAGACCCUCCCAGGACAAGGCUUCUCCCAGCAAUCUCUGCGACUCUUGUCAGCACCCAAACAUACCUCCUCACCAGCUCUGCUUAUUCAGGGACCCCUGGCUGCCUGGCAUAUCAGGGAGAUAGGCAGAGGAAGGGUAAGAAGACAGCCAAGUCCCCAAGUUCCCCUAGGGAAGGAGGCCAAACCAGUUGGAGUCAGAUCAGGGAGCUGAAGGUGGGGUGCGGGUGGCCUGUGGCUGGUGGGGUCAGAGAGGGCCUCCUGCAGGGGACAGAAGGAGGUGGUGAGACGCGAGGGGUUGUCAGAGUGUGUGGGGCUGCAGCCUGGUGGAGUGGCUCUGGGGUGGGGGACAAGCCAAGAGAUCCCCUGACUGAAGUGUUUCCACAUCUUUAACAUAAGGACGGUCAUAGUAACUGCCCUCAGGUUCCAGACAGAAUCAGAAGAUGCAGGGUGUUGGGGUGAGCAGCAGGGCUGUGGGGGUGGGAGGCAGGUAGCAGUGGUACCCAGACCACAGGGCAGGAAGUGAGCAUCACAGGAAGCCAGCUUUAAUCUCCCUCCUCCCGGACUCAGAGCAGCACUGGUCCAGGGAGAGAGGUCUUGACAGGUGUGGGGGUCCCACCAAGAUACUGCUCAGGCUUGGGGGUGGGGCAUGUCAGGCCUGGGAAACCAGCCAGUGUGGACAGGGCAGGGGACACAGACAGGCAGGAAGUCAGCCUCACCCCAAGCCAAAGCCCGCAGCCUGGGGCAGCCCUGGGCUGAGGGUGGGCUGUGGUCAGCUGUGAGACGGAGCUCUGACAGCAGGCGAGGCAAAUAGGCUGCCGCUGAGGAAGUUGCUUGACUGGGGGCGGGGGUGCGGUGGCUCUGCCCCAGCAGUUCAGUCAAGAAAAGUCCCACUGGAGUUCUGGUCAUGGCUCAGUGGUUAACGAAUCCGACUAGGAACCAUGAGGUUGUGGGUUCGAUCCCUGGCCUUGCUCAGUGGGUUAGGGAUCCGGCGUUGUCGUGAGCUGUGGUGUGGGUCGCAGACACGGCUCAGAUCCCACGUUGCUGUGGCUGUGGCUGUGGCAUAGGCCGGUGGCUACAGAUCCGAUUCGAUCCCUAGCCUGGGAACCUCCAUGUGCCAUGGGAGUGGCUCAAGAAAAG
rnacentral:lncRNA from 1 species